AUGCCACAGAAAUUGGUUCUUUACUCACUCCGGAAGGACCCAAGCGGCCUCCACUUGGGGUUCCUCCGGCUUUAUGUGGCGCUGCUGCACCACGUCCUCCCCUACACGUGGGGGUUGGUGGUCCGAUUUCCUCACCCUCAACGGACCACGCGCUCGCAAAGAACCCAGGGCCUCUUCCACCAGCCCGCAGCCGAUGCACAGAGCGCCACUAUACCACCUUUCAUGUCACCCGCGGAGUUUUGCAGCCGUGACGGCAACUGCACCUGCGCACCUGGCAACACAAAUAGGCCACACCCUCGCCACCAUGUGACCUCCUCCCCAUCACGGGACCCGUUGCUCCCCACGCUGGCCCAGGACCGCAAGUUCCCGGUUACCUUUAUUUCGCUGGUUUUCCGAACCUCCAACGAAACGCACUCGCCGUCCGCUUGCUGUCCUCUUGCUUGCCGCUAGCUCCAGAUGGCUACCAUUCGGAAAAUCAGCUCCGCUACCAAACACAAGUGGAAAGAAAGCGUAAGCGGGUGAAAAAGCUGAGAAAGUGGAAGAGGGCGACGGACCCCCAGCCCCUUAGCUCAAAAUGACCACCCGGGAGCAGAGAUACCCUUUGCGAAGCUUUCUUUUUCUUUGUGUGUCUAUUCGUCAACGCAGGUGCCCCCCUCGCCACCGCCUCUUCACCUUUCCCUGUGCGAAAGGCUUUGUAGUCUUCCAAUUAGCAAGUCAAUGAAACCGGACGCCAGGGCACCCACCCUGGGUCCUGGCUUCUGGCGCUACUGAUACUCUCUUCUCUUGCACUACCGCGGGAGUGAGGUGGGGGGCUGGGAGAGGCAGGUGGGACUGGAGACUCAUCUCUCACCUGCAUCUAAGAAUACUAUUUAUGAAGGAGAACAAAGGAAAGCAAAACCUUUCCAGCUUCCCGUUUUCACAUUGGGUUAUAUUUUGUUUUGAAAAUGAACACAUAGAAGAUAAUUUUAGCCAUAUAUAGGAUAAUCAUAAUUCCUAACCUACAAGAAUACAAUUUGUCAUGCCCGUCUCAUAAUCCCUCAGAUCUAACGUUUGUUCCCAUCACUUUCCGCUGUCCCUCAAGUUUCCUUCAGGCCUGUCUUCUCUGUCUGAAUUGUCUGUAAUUUGGCGCUGGAGAAAUGAAGGAGUGGAUCCUGCCUCAGGGCGGGUGUAGGAUUGCACACAAGUAGGGGCCCCAGUCCACAAGCAAAGGCAGGAAGGACUUGUGCUUGAAAGACUUCAUAAAUCACAUUUAUCUUACACUGGAUGGUUCUGUUAGUAGGUCAGACUUUUAAUAUGAAUGUUCACGCUCCUUCUUGUGAAUCUAUUUUAGGGGAAACCUAAUUAUUUUCUUUCACAAUAAAGGGUUUGUUGGGAGAGUGGCAGAAAAGAGGAACUUUUUUUUUUUUUUUUUGAGAUGGAAUUUCACUCUUGUUGCCCAGGCUGGAGUGCAAUGGCCCGAUCUCGGCUCACCGCAACCCCCGUCUCCCUGGUUUAAGCGAUUCUCCUGCCUCAGCCUCCCAAGUAGAUGGGAUUACAGGCGCCCGCCAACAUGCCCAGCUAAUUUUUGUAUUUUUAGUAGAGACAGGGUCUCGCCAUGUUAGCCAGGCUGGUCUUGAACUCCUAACCUCGGGUAAUCCACCCGCCUCGGCCUUCCAAAGUGCUGGGGAUUACAGACGUGAGCCACCGCGCUCGGCCUGAACUUCUUUCAAUGGUGCCAAUCUUAUGAACCUCAGACACCUCUCAGUGAGAACUUGCUGGCAUUUUGUGUGGAGAACAGAACCGAGAGGACCAAUCUGGACAAGGGGAGCCAAUUGGAAAACUGCAGGCCCAGGAUUAUUUUAUUUUCAUUCUCUAGAGCAGAGUUGCAAUAGAGCGCUAUUGACAUUUUGGAUUAGAUAUUAUAAUUCUUUGUUGUAGGGGCUGUUCUAUGCAUUACAGGAUGUUUACUAGCAUUCCUGUUCUUUACCUACUAUAUUCCUCAGUCACAGCUAUUUACCUACUAUGUUCCUCAGUCAUAACAAUUAAAAAUGUCUUCUUACAUUGUCAGAUGACCCUUGUGAGGGCAAAAUUGCUCCAUUAGAUAAAUUACUGCUCCACGAGUAUGUAGCAUUGUUUUGGCUUACUAUUUAUUUUUGAGACAGGGUCUGGCUCUGUCUCUCAGGCUGCAGUGUGCAGUGAAACAAUCAUAGCUCACUGUGGCCUCAAACUCCUGGGCUCAUGGGAUCCUCCCUCUUCAGCCAGUCCCAGUAGCUGGGCCUACAGGCACCGGACCACUACUCCCGGCUAAUUUUUGUAUUUUUUGUUGAAACAGGAUUUCACCACGUUGGCCAUGGCUGAUCUCAAACUGCUGAUCUCAAGCGACUUUACCUGCCUCAGGCUCCCAAACUACUGGUAUUACAGGCCUGAGCCACCAAGCCCGGCCUAGUUUACUAUUUAUUGAUUAGGGUAUUUUUUCAACUUUGUAAGGGACCGUCGUUAACUUGUAGACAACUGUGAUGAUGCAAAUGAACUUCGUCUGAUAUUUAGUUAUUUUCUGUCCUGUAGAAACAGUAACAGUUAUAUUGCCCUAUGGGGCAGUUUCUAGUUCUCUAUUUCACUUAGCAAAGUUAAUUUACAGCAUCGCUUCUUUCAGUGACUAUCAAAUUCUUUGAAUCGGUUUUACCAUCUUGAUGAUUCCCUCAUUAGUGAAUUAAACCUUUGGCAAAUGUUUAUUUCAUAUUCAUAUAAUAAUCAUGCAUUUAACCGUUUGAAAAGUGUAUUUUGACCAAAUGAAUAAUAGUAAAUACAUCUUUGAAACAGGAUAACUUAUUCAGUCCAUUGAGGUUGGAGAGGAGAUAAAACAUUACAUUUAAUUCAUCCAGACUCGCCCCACUCAAAUAAAUGUUUCAUGGACUUGAGGAGAUUAAUGGCCAAGUUAAAUGUGCUUUCAAUUCUUGUUCAGAAAAGAAAAAAAAAAAUCUGUGUGCCAUAAAGGAGUGAACAUUGGGCUCAAUGGACUACUUGUACAAGAAGGAUCAUUUGCCCUGUGCAUGUUGUAUUACAUGACAAGGUAAUUAUCUUUAAUGGAACAUGAAGAAGAAUGAAACAGAUUUCUUUUCCUUUUUCUUUCUUUCUUUUUUGUUUUUUUGUUUUUUUGUUUUUUUGUUUGUUUUUUUGAGAGGGAGUCUUGCUCUGUCCAGCAGCUGGAGUGCAAUGGCAACAUUUCUGCUCACUGCAACCUCUGCCUCCUGGGUUCCAGCGAUUCCCCUGCCUCAGCCUCCCGAGUAGCUGGGAUUACAGGCGCCCACCACCAUGCCCGGCUGAUUUUUGUAGUUUUAACAGAGACGGGAGUUUCUCCAUUUUGGCCAGGUUGGUCUCGAACUCCUGACCUCAAGUGAUCUCCCCAUCUCGGCCUGCCAAAGUCCUGGGAUUACAGAGGUGAGUCAACAUGCCAGGCCAUAAUGAAACAGAUUUCCGAUGCCAGAUUCCACAAGUGGAUUUCUUCGUUAAUGAGGGAGGAUAAUAGCUAUUCUGAGCUUCAGAGUCAUAGAAAACUAGACAAGAACCUUACACUUUGCAAAACUAAUAUUUGAAAUGAUAUUACCCUGUGUUAAAGUUGAUCAUCUAAAAACGUAUCAUUUUAGCACCCCCAUAGAUAGGUUUCUGCUGAGUUAAGAAUUAAUGUGAUGGCCAGCUGCUGUGGGCUCACGCCUAUGAUGCUAGGAUUUUGGGAGGCCAAAGCGGACGGAUCACUUGAGGCCAAGAGUUCGAGACCAGAUUGGCCAACAUGGCAAAAUCACAUCUCUACUAAAAAUACAAAAAUUAGCCAGGCGUGGUGGCUUGCGCUUGUAAUCCCAGCUAUUCGGAGACUGAGGCGGGAGAACGGGAGAAUCGCUUGAACCUGGGAAGUGGAGGUUGCAGUGAGCCGAUAUCGCGCCACCGCACUCCGGUCCGGGCGACAGAGCGAGACUGUGUCUCAAAAAAAAAAAAAAAAAAAAAAAAAAAAAAUAGUAUGCUUUCGAAAUUGCGUUAUUUAGCCUGCUCUUCCUUCUCCUCCUCCUGUCAAUUAUCUCAAUAAAAUCUCAUUAAAAUUGCAGUGUUAAAAUGUUUCAAAUUCUAUU
ensembl:lncRNA